rnacentral:rRNA from 1 species
GACAGAGGGGGCAAGCGUUGCUCGGAAUUACUGGGCGUAAAGGGCGCGUAGGCGGAAUGGCAAGUCGGUCGUGAAAUCCUUCGGCUCAACCGAAGAACGUCGAUCGAAACUGCCGUUCUUGAGGAUUGCAGAGGAGACUGGAAUUCCCGGAUGUAGCGGUGAAAUGUGUAGAGAGUCGGGAGGAACACCGGUGGCGAAGGCGGCAUCCUGGACCGACAUUGACGCUGAGGAGGCGAAAAGCUAGGGGAGCAAACGGG